GACGAACGCUGGCGGCGUGCUUAACACAUGCAAGUCGAGCGGAGCGGCGAACGGGUGAGUAACGCGUGAGUAACUGCCCCCCUCUCUGGGUUACCAGUUGGAAACGGCUGCUAAUACCGGAUAGUGUGGGAUGUCUCGGGUCCUAUCAGCGUGUUGGUUGGGUAGUGGCCGACCAAGGCGGCGACGGGUAGCCGGCCUGGGAGGGCGACCGGCAACAAUGGGCUGAGAUACGGCCCAAACUCCUACGGGAGGCAACAGUGGUGAAUAUUGCACAAUGGGGGAAACCCUGAUGCAGCAACGCCGCGUGCGGGAUGACGGCCUUCGGGUUGUAAACCGCUUUCAUCCAUGACGCGGUAGUGGCAGAAGAAGCACCGGCUAACUACGUGCCAGCAGCCGCGGUAAUAC
rnacentral:rRNA from 1 species